AAUAUCACAAAUACGUUGUAGUGAGCAAACAGUAGUAACAUACGUCGAAUUUUACAUGGAAGGAAAGACUUGGUUAUCUUUAGGACGAGCAGCACGACGUCUUCUGGUUGACAGGUUGCCCGCGGAUCUGCACGGUCGGUGGCCUUGCAUUUGAAGCGGCCGGUUGGCUAGCCAUCCUGUCCUUGAUGGAUGCGGCCAUAGCCAUGAAGGCCUGCUCCACAUUAGUGGCGUUCUUGGCACUUGUCUCCAUGAAGGGGAUGCCCAUCUCAUCAGCAAACGCCUUAGCUGUUUCAGAUGACACAACUUUGUUGGCAGUUAGGUCGCUCUUGUUCCCAACAAGGAGCUUGUUUACAUUGUCACUUGCAUAACGAUCAAUUUCAUUCAACCACUGCUUCACAUUGUUGAAGCUUUCUUGGUCUGUCACAUCGUAUACAAUAAUUAUUCCAUGAGCUCCCCGGUAAUAGCUGCUUGUAAUCGUCCUGAAACGUUCUUGUCCAGCAUAAUCUUACGAUUUGAAGCUUGAUGGUCUUCCCAUCCUGCUCUACUGUCCGUAUUUUCUGCAAACAAAAUGCACAACUUAUUGCUAAUGAGACAAUGAGUUAAACUCGUACCGCAAAUCUGAGAAGCAAGCACGAUUUCCCAACACCAGAAUCACCAAUGAGGAGAAGUUUGAAAAGGUAGUC
rnacentral:sRNA from 1 species